rnacentral:rRNA from 1 species
UACGUAGGGUGCGAGCGUUGUCCGGAAUUAUUGGGCGUAAAGAGCUUGUAGGUGGCUCGUUGCGUCGGGAGUGAAAACCUGCGGCUUAACCGCAGGCCUGCUUCCGAUACGGGCGAGCUAGAGUUCGGCAGGGGAGACUGGAAUUCCUGGUGUAGCGGUGAAAUGCGCAGAUAUCAGGAGGAACACCGGUGGCGAAGGCGGGUCUCUGGGCCGAUACUGACGCUGAGGAGCGAAAGCGUGGGGAGCGAACAGGA